UACGGAGGGUGCAAGCGUUGUCCGGAAUUAUUGGGCGUAAAGAGCUUGUAGGCGGUUUGUCGCGUCUGCCGUGAAAGCCCAGGGCUUAACCCUGGGUCUGCGGUGGGUACGGGCAGACUAGAGUGUGGUAGGGGAGACUGGAAUUCCUGGUGUAGCGGUGAAAUGCGCAGAUAUCAGGAGGAACACCGAUGGCGAAGGCAGGUCUCUGGGCCACUACUGACGCUGAGAAGCGAAAGCAUGGGGAGCAAACAGG
rnacentral:rRNA from 1 species